rnacentral:rRNA from 1 species
UACGAAGGGGGCUAGCGUUGCUCGGAAUUACUGGGCGUAAAGCGCGUGUAGGCGGAUGGGCAAGUCUGCUGUGAAAGCUCCUGGCUUAACCGGGAGUGGUCGGUGGAAACUGCCCGUCUGGAGGACGGUAGAGGUAGGUAGAAUUCCCGGUGUAGUGGUGAAAUGCGUAGAGAUCGGGAGGAAUACCUGUGGCGAAGGCGGCCUACUGGGCCGGACCUGACGCUGAGACGCGAAGGCGUGGGGAGCGAACGGG